GUGUCCACUUGCUUCGUCCCAGGGUCAUCUCAAUGGGGAUCAGAUCCCAGCGUGGGAGGUGAAAAAUGACCUUCCAGAGCCUGCACCUCCUGCUGCUGAGCUUGUGCUGCCUACGAUCACUCCCGUCACUUGGAAGGGACACCCCAGCCCAGGGACAGAGCGUCUGGUCCUGGGCAGCUCCUGCUGCUGGAGUGCGAGCGGGACUCAGAGCUCCUGGAACCACCAGGAGGAUAAUGCCAGCACCCAAGGAUGAGGAAUUUGAACCGAUAACUUCCGGAUGACAUCCCCCAUGGUACACCACUGGCCAACCAGCUCCCCUCCUUACCUUGCUCCAUUGAACUGGACACCUCCUUCAACUCCGAGGUCCCUUUGUUGUCUGGGCCAACAUUCACUGGGAUCUGGCUGGAACCUUCUGGCACCCCCUGUUCUCCCAGGCAGGUCAGCUUGGCUCUUCUGGGAGUUGGUCUUCCUGCCCCCCCACACAGCUGGGAUCACACUCCAGGGAUGGGCACGAUGGCUUCUUUGGAACACAGCCGGGUAUCUAGGUCCUCCCUCACCUGCAGGCCCAGAGGGGAUACAGCUGUGAAUUGCCCAGAGCAGCGUCCCUUCGGAGCUUGUCCUAGAUCUAGAGUUUGAGCUCCCCUGGGGACGGCCUUCCCUUUGCUGACUGGCCUUCACGGCCACGCCUGGUGGGGACGGAGCGUCGCUGAGAAUGAGCGUGCUUAGUGGUCCCUGAGCAGACAGUCCCUGCCCAUGAGUGAACCUGCAUGAAAUUCCUGGAGCAAAGACCCCAGAAUGACGGUGGGAACCCUCAGAACCCCUGUGAGAGAGACGUGAGAGACACCACCCCCUUGCCCAACAGCCCCGUUUUCUGUCCUUGUGCUGCCUGGAAGAAAGGCCAAAGCAGAUAAGCGAGGCCCACUGAUGGCGUUUUUCAGGGCAGGAGAAAGUACGGGAACCCAAGGAAACCCCCUCAAGGGCCGAGCAUGUGCCUGGUUCCUUGGUGGGCGGGUUCUUGGCCACCACAUCUGCCUCCCACAAAAAGGUGCACGGUGCUGCCUGUCUGGCAUUCGAGGGUGGGGAGGGGCAGGUGGAUGAGUGAACACUUACUCACCUCCCACCUCUCGUGUCAGCCUCCCUGGUGCAGCCACCACUUAUCUCAUUUGAUCUCACCCACUAUUUAUCUCAUCAGCCCUCUGAGACAGGCAGGUGUUAGUAUCCUUGUUUGUCUUUCAAGAACCCUGAGGCUCUGAGAAACCAGCAAGUCAUGUGUCCUGUCACACGUCUAGUUAGUUAGUAGCACUUAGGUCUUCAGCCUCCGUGACCACUGCUCCUUCCCGGGUCAUUAAGGGCCUUGGCCUUAGAAGGCCUGGGUAGAAAAGUCAGUGGCCAAGAGCAAGUCCACCCAAGGCCUUCCUAUUCAGGGAAGAUCACCCCACAGGAGCCCCUUUCUGCCACCUCCUCAGAGACGGGCUCAGGACACUGUUGGGGCAGAAAGGGCUGAUCUUUGCCCGAAGAAGCAAAGCAGUUCAUCCAUCCUGUCAUUUCUGCUCUCUACACGGCUGCUGCGGACGUGUCUGCCACACCAGUCUGAGGGCUCCUGAGGACUUACCCUGCCUGCUGGUCCAGUGCCAGCUCUGUGACUGACCCAGAGCAGGCCACCAUACGUGUCAUUGGUAAAUAAACAAGUGAUCAGUGUGGUCUG